CCAUAUCUCCUGUCUCUCUCCUCAUAUUUCCAUUUUCCUUUCUCUCUCUUCUCGUCUAUCUCCUUUCUCUAUCCUCUAUCCCAUUCUGGAUCUCGUCUAUCUUCUUUCUCUCUCCUCUACUCCCUCAUAUUUUCUGGAUCCAUCUCUCGUCUCUCCCCUUCCUCUCUUCUCUAUCCCCUCAUAUUUCGUCGCCAUUGUUGGAAACCACCUCUAUUUUUCGGAUUUCACAAAAAUAAUCUAUAUAAUUCUGGGUUUUAUCAAGUUCAAUCAACCAUUUGUACCCAAAAUGGUGAUUAUAAACUCUUGGAUCUCGCAUGCAUCGCCAACUCUUGGAUCUCGCCCACUUUAGCAGAAAUGGUGAGCAGAAAUGGUACAACAAAACAAAACUAUUCUAUCAUCUAUUUGCUGCACGGAUUAGUCUCCCCUCCUCUCUAUUAACUAUGAGAAGGAAGUAGAAGAAGAUAUUACUUACGUGUAUUGGCGCAACUUGAAGAGGAAUGGUGAUGGAAUUUUUCUGGGAUUCUUCGUUUUUAGUUUUCUGGGUGUAGACUGAUUUUGAUUUAAUUCAGUCGAAUGUCAAUAUGAUUUAAUUUUUGCAAUUGUGAUAAUUUGUAAUAAGAUCUUCUUGGUUGGGUUUAUGCGUGAUUUUUGGUUGGGUAUAUGCGUGAUUUUCUUGGUUGUGGGUUUAUGCAUGAUUUUCUUGGC